AGCUGUGAGCAAUGGCAGUAUUACAGCCAGUGAGAUUUAUCCGAGGUGUAAUUACUGCUAAUUGAAAACUUUUUCCGAUACCCUACCAUGAUGACUUGAAAUAUAGUCAGCAUUGGCAAUUUUUGACAGUCUCUACAGAGA